AUUGAACGCUAGCGGCAUGCCUUACACAUAGGCAAGUCGAACGGCAGCACGGGGGCAACCUGGUGGCGAGUGGCGAACGGGUGAGUAAUGCGAUCGGAACGUGCCCAUCGGAUGGGGGAUAACUGCGCGAAAGCGUUGCUAAUACCGCAUACGACUACGGGUGAAAGCAGGGGACCGCAAGGCCUUGCGUCGAUGGAGCGGCCGAUGCCGGAUUAGCUAGUUGGUGAGGUAAAGGCUCACCAAGGCGACGAUCCCGUAGCUGGUCUGAGAGGACGACCAGCCACACUGGGACUGAGACACGGCCCAGACUCCUACGGGAGGCAGCAGUGGGGAAUCUUGGACAAUGGGCGAAAGCCUGAUCCAGCAAUGCCGCGUGUGGGAAGAAGGCCCUCGGGUUGUAAACCACUUUUGGCGGGAAAGAAAUGGUCUGUGCUAAUACCACGGAUUGAUGACGGUACCGCAGAAUAAGCACCGGCUAACUACGUG
rnacentral:rRNA from 1 species